UAACAAUGAUUUCCCUAGUAACGGCGAGUGAAGAGGAAAGAGCUCAAAGUUGGAACCUGUUUGGCUUAGCUAAACCGGAUUGUAAACUGUAGAAGUGUUUUCCUGACACGCCUGGUAAAAAAGUCCUUUGGAACAGGGCAUCAUAGAGGGUGAGAAUCCCGUCUUUGGCCAGAGCUGUUGUCUUUUGUGAUACAUUUUCAAAGAGUCAGGUUGUUUGGGAAUGCAGCCUAAAUUGGGUGGUAAAUCUCACCUAAAGCUAAAUAUUUGCGAGAGACCGAUAGCGAACAAGUACCGUGAGGGAAAGAUGAAAAGAACUUUGAAAAGAGAGUUAAACAGUAUGUGAAAUUGUUAAAAGGGAACCGGUUGGAGCCAGACUGGCUUGAUCGUAAUCAAUCUAAGCUUCGGCUUGGAUGCACUUGCGGUCUUUGCCUGCCAACGACAAUUUUUUCUGGGGGAAAAAACUAAUGUGAAACGUAGCCCAUCUCGGUGGGUGUUAUAGUCCGUUAGAAAAUACCCUGGAUUGGAUUGAGGAACGCAGUGAAUGCUCUUUAGGGCAAGAUUGCUGGGUGCUUUCGCUAAUACAUGCUAAAAUUUCUGCCUUGGGUGGUGUUAGUGUGUAAAGGAGGAACUCGCCUAGUAUAUUUUUUAUUCGCUUAGGUUGUUGGCUUAAUGACUCUAAAUGA
rnacentral:rRNA from 1 species